UUUUAUGUACUCUGGUAUUUGGUACAUUUCUUUCGUGAUGUCAAUGAUCAAUGCCCAUCUUGAAUGUAGUUUGACCAUUUCCCUGCAGUCCUUUCUGACUCGCCAACGGCUAGUCCCAUAAAAAGCCCAUUUUGACUAACUGUUGUUCACAUUUCACAUGUCUAUUCGUCUCAUAAAUACAGACCCUUACACCUUCCUUGAGGUCACCUUCAAGACCGCACACGCUACAGAUUUUGUGAACCAGAUCGAAUUCACGCGACCAAGAUGGCCUCCUCUUCUUCAGUCAACCAGGUAUUGCUACGUUUUCUCUAUUCGGAAUUGGUUAUCCUGAACCAAACCUUGACUCUUUGUUCCCUUUCCCAACCAAAUCAAGUGGACGAAUAGCUUGAACAGGUCAUCCAGAUUCUUCACUCCAAUGAGCCGCUCACCCAAGUGGACAAAGCUUUAAUCCAAGCUUAUCGUGAUCAAAUUAGAGACCAUUUGCCUGCGGAUGUCAAAUCGAUCUUGUCCUCAAUCGAAGCCGCAGGCUCAAACCAGCAAGCGCAGCAGUCAAUCCUUCGAAGCCACAACCUCCCCCCC
rnacentral:lncRNA from 1 species